GAAAAUGGAAAUGAAUGCUGCUGGUUUUACAAGUGUCCUAAAAACGUGCUUUAGUGGAUGGGUGCUUUUGUGUAGCCAGUAUAGUUGUGGCUCUUCACUUCAAUCAUUUGGAUUUCUAAAAGUGAGAUUGAUACCAUUGCCAGCAUAUUGCAGUGCUACUGACCACCGGAAACACACGGUACUUGCCAAGCCUUUCUUUGUAACACCUUGUAAAUUCCUGGAUUCGUAACUGUUUAAUGUGGCAAGUUGCGCAAAAUUUUCAUCUCAAGUCAGGAUACAUGAGAAAUUGUCAAAUCGAAAAGCCAAUUGUAAAACAAAAAAAAAUACAAAAAAAAUGGAGUUUGCAGAUGUGUGCAGACGAAGUACCUGCAAGAUAUUAAAAGAGAUAUCAAUGAAUACUUCAAUGGUUGAUCACCACUAAGUUAUUUUUGUUAAACGGCAAGAGAGAUGUCUAACAAACUCUCAAAGCAAAUAUUUCCUUCCUUUAGAAGUUGGAAACAUCGAAUGAAAUGGAAACGAUUUUAGCCGUAAUAAGAACAGAGCAUGCGUAUUAGCAAACUAUAAACAUAAAGCUGCUGUCUGGUGAAGUAGAAACGCGGGCGACGUCAUCCGUGCCAAAGCAACAGAGUUCAGACGACGUUUGGAAGGCUGCCCAGGCGAAGGUAAAAACUGUUUCUUCCUUUCAAGACAACGUCGGGUUUCUUUUGUGACAAAAAGUAAAUUGAAUUAUCGAACAGAAGACCAAUUUCGUAAGAGACCGGUAAAAAUUGUACUUUGGUCAAUUGUAUAAACAUUAUACAUCGUCAACGCAUUAGAAUUUAGUCUGCGUAUAUUAUUGAGUUAUAUUCACCCUUAUACUGAGUUGGUAAAGCAUUGAAAAAGUAUACAACGCCAACUAACGACAACGGACUAAAAAUGUGCAACAUGAAAUUAUUUCGUAUUGAUCGGAGUACCGCUCAUGAGGAAGACAAUCAUCUGGACGAAGCCGGUGUCAACGCUGUGCCGAUUGUUAACGAAAUUGGGCAAACGCUCGCUCAUAUUGGGGACAAUCUGAAUGAACAAGCUCUAAGAAAAUGCAAACACUUGCAGCUAGCUGCUUUUGGGAUUAUUCUCACAUUUGCAACUAUCGUUACGCUGAAUAACUGUGCUUAAUAUGUAGCAAUUUGUCUAUACGAAAGUAACAUUUGGUUCGCGAAGGAUAUGUGCAUGUAUCAAUUUGCCAUGCAAGACAAUGAGAAAAGUCAAGGGUAUUCCCUUGCCGCGGACGAAAUUUUUGUAAAUAGUUUUGUAAAUUUUGGAAUUCAUAGGCUGUAUUUCGACAGCAUAAUAUACAUAUAUAGCUUUACUUGUGGUGAAAGGGGAUAUAGACUUAAAUAUAGUAUCUGUGUUAUAUUGUAGCUUGUCCGAACAAGCGCCGAUGACUAUG